GCCCAUGAUGGAUAGUUCAGUCAGUAGAGCAUGAGACUCUUAAUCUGAGGGUCAGGGGUUCCAGCCCCAUGUUGGGCA